UGGGGAAUUUUGGACAAUGGGCGAAAGCCUGAUCCAGCAAUGCCGCGUGUGUGAAGAAGGCCUUCGGGUUGUAAAGCACUUUUGUCCGGAAAGAAAUCCUUGGCUCUAAUACAGUCGGGGGAUGACGGUACCGGAAGAAUAAGCACCGGCUAACUACGUGCCAGCAGCCGCGGUAAUACGUAGGGUGCAAGCGUUAAUCGGAAUUACUGGGCGUAAAGCGUGCGCAGGCGGUUUGCUAAGACCGAUGUGAAAUCCCCGGGCUCAACCUGGGAACUGCAUUGGUGACUGGCAGGCUAGAGUAUGGCAGAGGGGGGUAGAAUUCCACGUGUAGCAGUGAAAUGCGUAGAGAUGUGGAGGAAUACCGAUGGCGAAGGCAGCCCCCCUGGGCCAAUACUGACGCUCAUGCACGAAAGCGUGGGGAGCAAACAGGAUUAGAUACCCUGGUAGUCCACGCCCUAAACGAUGUCAACUAGUUGUUGGGGAUUCAUUUCCUUAGUAACGUAGCUAACGCGUGAAGUUGACCGCCUGGGGAGUACGGUCGCAAGAUUAAACUCAAUGAAUUGACGGGGUCAUAGCUGUUUCCU
rnacentral:rRNA from 1 species